rnacentral:rRNA from 1 species
UACCAGCACCCCGAGUGGUCGGGACGUUUAUUGGGCCUAAAGCAUCCGUAGCCGGUUCUACAAGUCUUCCGUUAAAUCCAACUGCUUAACAGGUGGGCUGCGGAAGAUACUAUAGAGCUAGGAGGCGGGAGAGGCAAGCGGUACUCGAUGGGUAGGGGUAAAAUCCGUUGAUCCAUUGAAGACCACCAGUGGCGAAGGCGGCUUGCCAGAACGCGCUCGACGGUGGGGGAUGAAAGCUGGGGGAGCAAACCGG